UUUUUAAUUCCUUUUAACAACUUACCUUAUUUUAAUUAUACAUACCUUGCACAAGUUCUUAUUUUCUUUAAUAUAUUUGAAUAUAUUUUUAAAUCUAUUACAUUUAAUAAUCUAAACUAUUAAAGCAGGAGUACAAAAAUGAAACUACCCCUAAUGUUGCACAAAAAUUACUAACCUAUGCCACUGCUAUUUUAUCAAACUCUGUCGUUUUCCUUCCUUCUUUUUUUUUAAUCAAAUAUCGUUCACAUUAAUGACCCAAGCUUUGGGCUUAGAAAUCGUAAAUGGCCCAAAUCGUUCAAAUAUAUUUUUAAAAUAAUAUCAAACCAAAAUCGUACCUAAUUAAACAGACUUGGCAAACAAUAAUACAAAACAUUCCUAAAACUACUCCUAUCGAAUCCGAUAAUUUAAAUUUAAUUAAGGUAUUAUUGUAUGAUUUAGAUUUUUGUUUGCAAAGUCAAAUAUUUUUUAAAAAUAAUAUCAAACCAAAAUCGUACCUAAUUAAACACACUUGACAAACAAUAAUACAAAACAUUCCUAAAACUACUCCUAUCGAAUCCGAUAAUUAAUAAGCAAAUGAAAUGAAAAUAUCUUUUUCCUAAUUGUACACAAUCGGCAUUUAUAAAAGAUAUUGUAAACUUGCGAAAUGUUUUAAAAAAUACUUGCUAACCAAGUUUUGUAUAUCUCUAAAUCUCGAAUAUUCUGUUUUUCCUAAAAGAUACUAACUAAUCAAUGUAUAUUAACUAAUUUUACAAAGAUUUCGCAAUUUAUUCUGCAUUUAAAUUAAAACUACCGUAAUAUACUAUCUAAUUAAUAUGGUUUAACCUAACGUGAUCCCAUUUUCCAUCGCCUCCUAUAUAUAUCAUCUAUUCUCCAUAUCAUAUCAAAGAAAACACAAAACCUAAACAUGUCACAUAUGACGACCUUUGUUCCUCUCACAAAACUCAGGCCAUUCAAAGACAAAUGGAGAGUUCAAGUGAAAUGUUUACAUUCAUGGAAGCAAACCACAACUUAUUCCGGUGAUACUUUUGAGAUGGUCUUAGCAGAUCAAUGGGGUAACAAGAUUCAUGCUACUAGAAAACGCAGUCUGAUGCAACGAAUUCAACGUGUCUUACCAAUAGAUUCAUGGGGUGUUAUUGAACACAUUACCAUCACUGCAGCUGGUGGUCAAUAUCGAACUACCAACUACAAGUACAAGAUGGUUAUAGCAGAAGACGCUGUGCUAUCAAGAUCUGAUUUAAAUGAUGAUAGAAUUUUCCUCUCUGUUGCUAAUUAUGAAGAAAUUGAAAAUGCUGACGUUAAAAAACAAGCGUUUCUCAUAGAUGUGAUAGGAAGAAUUCAUGAACUUGGUGAUGUACAUACUGUAUAAGUUGGCGGGGAAGAUAGAAAGCGGGUUCAGUUUCGCUUAGUUGAUGCAGAAGGAAAAAAUCUCGCAUGCUGUCUCUGGGGAACAUAUGCCGAGCAACUCGAACCGUUUUCUGGGGAUGACAAAGAUCAAACGAUUAUUUGUUUGAUCAGGUUUGCCAAAAUCAAGGAAUUCAGAGGAGAGGUGCAAAUCACUAAUGCUUUUGAUGCUUCAAGGCUGUUCUUGAAUGCAAUGAUCCCCGAAGUUACUAAUUUAAUUGAAAGGCUGUCAAAUGAUGAUCUCUCUGUUGCUCUGGUCAAAAAACCAUCUGGAAAGAAGGAUGGUAAAUUUUUUUUGUAUAACUGGAAUGAUACUGAGAUCAAAACUAUUGAGGAACUCGCUGAGGCCAAUCAGGUUCAUUAUCCCUUUCCAGAAUUUAAUUAUUUUAUUUUAGGUCGGUUCUAAUUUUAUACAAAAUAUAGGUGGAGAUUUGCAAAAUCAUAUGUACUAUUGAAUCAAUAGAUACAGAUUGGUCUUGGUUUUACAUUGGUUGUAACCGGCACCAAAAACGAGUCCAAAAGAUUCCUAAAGUUGACUAUGGGAGUAUGACCAAAAAAGACAAGCCUUUGUUUCGGUGUGAACAAUGUCGUUCUAAUAUCAGUAAUGUCGGACCAAAAUUCAAGCUACAUUUGGUGGUGAAAGAUGACUCUGCAACAUGUAAUCUGAUGUUACUAGGCUCAGUUGGUAAGUCCAUCGUUGGAGUGGAUGCUGAAGAAUUAUGGGAUGGCUCUUAUGAGGAGAUUGAAGAUCCAGACAUCCUACCAGAACCUAUUCUGAGUUUGGUCGGAAAGUCUUUCUGUUUUGGGAUUUCCAUAAACUCAGACAAUGUCACAAAUGGAUCAGACACUUUUGUUGUUUUAGAGGUUUGUUCUGGAGAUAAAGUUUUUACUAUCGAAUCUGACUCUCAAACAAAUUCGGAAAUGCUCACAACUUCUUCUACCAUGUCAUCUGGAUCUGUCAUGAUGUUGGAUCAACUUUCCAAUGAUGAGUGUCCAACACCUAUAACGAAGCGCAAAUAGGGUGAUUGUGACCUACAGGACCUAACAUCUACUUCCAAGAAACACUGCACCAAGAUAAUCAAACAAGAGAAGACCAAGGCUGAUUAGGCUCAAGAUCAAGUUUCAUUUCCGAGAUUAAACUCAUUCCCCUUAUGUUUCAAUUUUUUGUUAUGCUAUGAUUUAUUUCGUACUUUAAUUUUUAGAAGGUUUUUUUUUUAUGUUUUCUGUUUCGGUUUUUUGAAUUUCCUAUAUUUAAUAAUAAGUUGGGUUUUUUUCGAUUGCCUAAAAAAUUUUAAAACUUGCAUCCAUCCUAUAUUUUUUGUCGAUUGUAUUCCUACUAUAAAUUUGAGGAGGUGGUUUUUGUUUGAUGUUUUCUGUUUCUGUUUUUUGAAUUUUCUAUAUUUAUAAUACGCUGGGUUUAUUUCAAUUGCAUUAAAAAAAAUUAAAACUUACAUCCAUCCUAUAACUUUCUCCAUUUAAUUCCUACUUUAAAUCAACUACUAUAUUGUAAUUACUUAUUUCUAAUGUAAAGUCUUAUUCAGUUCACACAACAACCUAACUAGCCAAUCAACUCAUAUAGUGAUAAAACCACAUAACUAGCCAAUCAAGUCAUAUAGUUCUAAAGUAAAAGUU